GGGGGUGUGGCGCAACGGUAGCGCGUCAGAUUCCAGAGCCUCCGUGCAGAAUCAUUCUUGGUGUUCUCGGUUACUGGAACUUCCUGAAGGUUGAGCGUUCAAAUCGCUCCAUCCUCA